CCCCUGUGACAUACCUAUACGUUGCCUCGGCGGAUCAGCCCGCGCCCCGUAAAACGGGACGGCCCGCCCGAGGACCCCUAAACUCUGUUUUUAGUGGAACUUCUGAGUAAAACAAACAAAUAAAUCAAAACUUUCAACAACGGAUCUCUUGGUUCUGGCAUCGAUGAAGAACGCAGCAAAAUGCGAUAAGUAAUGUGAAUUGCAGAAUUCAGUGAAUCAUCGAAUCUUUGAACGCACAUUGCGCCCGCCAGUAUUCUGGCGGGCAUGCCUGUUCGAGCGUCAUUUCAACCCUCAAGCUCAGCUUGGUGUUGGGACUCGCGGUAACCCGCGUUCCCCAAAUCGAUUGGCGGUCACGUCGAGCUUCCAUAGCGUAGUAAUCAUACACCUCGUUACUGGUAAUCGUCGCGGCCACGCCGUAAAACCCCAACUUCUGAAUGUUGACCUCGGAUCAGGUAGGAAUACCCGCUGAACUUAAGC
rnacentral:rRNA from 1 species